GCCCGGCUAGCUCAGUCGGUAGAGCAUGAGACUCCUAAUCUCGUGGAUUCGUGGGUUCUAGUCCCACGUUGGGCG